GGAAGUCCCGCCCCUCGCCUCCUCAACCGGAGCGCGCCCGCAGAAGAACCAGAACCCGGAGCAGCAGCAACAUGGACACGGAGCUGUUAAUGGAGUGUGUGGAGGAGGAGCUGGAGCCAUGGCAACAGGUGGAGGAAGAUGAUGAAGAUGAAGAGGAGGAGUACUGUCAACCAGAGGACGAAUUUCUGUCUCCUCUCCCAGCCGCUGAGACCCCGCCCCCCCCCCAGGCCCACUCCACCUGC